UUUGGCUACACAAUUUGUGUACUUCAAGGCUACACUUGUGCGCUUUAAAGCCACACUUGUAAUUAUGAAAUUAAACUUCAUUAUAUGCGUAAAAAAAGCCACACUUCUUUGUUGGAUUCUCGUAUCGAAUUAUUCGGAAAGGAGGCUAGAAUCAUGUUUUUAGCGACAUGUUUUUUUUUAUGAACCAUUUUCAGUUUUACUGAAAAUUUUAGUGUAACUUUUAUUGCUGCAUGGUAAUUUUAAACACAUACAUAGUUAACUUUUUCAUAAAAAAAUUUUGGUUUGUAAUAUUUUAGUAAUAUCGUAUUAAAUAUGUUAAGCGAGGAAAAUAUCGAUUUUCAGUUGUUAAAAAUUAGAAGAUGCAACUUUGCUUGCAUUUAAGGCGCUCCCUUUUCUUAUGAUAGCACCUCCACAGAAGGGCAAGAAGAGUCCAAGAAUUUGGCUUUAUUUUAUAGAGAAAUGGAUGUACACCUCAGUCUUGAAAGCUCCCUUGAGUUAUUGAAGAAGGAGAAAGUUUUUCUACUGAUUUUAUUCAAGUGUUUCAGCACUCUAUUUAUAAUUUAAAUUAUAACUAUAAUUAUAAGUCGAUAAUACAGCUAUACGGUUGGAAGCCAUACCGAGUAUUGGAUUUGCUUUUGAGUUGCUGCUAGUCUCAUGUAUUUAAUGUCAAUUUUCCUCAUGAACUUAUUUGUGUAUAUGGAUUUAUGGGAAAUUUGCUUGGAAUAAACAACAAAAGAAUUAUCGUCAAUUCCUUUUAAAUAAAGUAUUGUCAAAAGUUUAAGAUUAAAUUAAGCAAUAUGUUUGUGAAACGAAAAAGUAUUUUUAUCACUUUCUUGUUUAUUUUUGUUAUAUCGUCAGCCGAGAACCAAGAGACCGUAUGUCUUUUUUUUGUGUUUCCAAGAAAAUCAAGUUUCAAAUUUUAAUUUGCAAAGUCUUUCUUUCAGA